ACGCUCGACACCUACGGGGGGCAGCAGUUGGGAAUAUUGGACAAUGGAGGAAACUCUGAUCCAGUGACGCCGCGUGAAGGAAGAAGGUCUUCGGAUUGUAAACUUAUUUUGUCAGGGAAGAAAAAUGACUGUACCUGAAGAAAAAGCACCGGCUAACUACGUGCCAGCACGCCGGACGGUAAUCUGGAGGGCCGGGCGUGGACGAAGGC
rnacentral:rRNA from 1 species